rnacentral:tRNA from 1 species
GCUUUCGUGAUGUAGUGGUCAGCACGCUCGACGUUUAAUCGACAGGUCCGUGGUUCGAAUCCCAGCGAGGGCA